ensembl:lncRNA HULC hepatocellular carcinoma up-regulated long non-coding RNA
AGAGACGCUAGGCCGGCACUGCCUAGGUGGGCCGGGCGGUGCGAGGGUCGCCUUUCAGCCUUUACCUCUACCCACUGAAAUGGAGUAGGUCGGUGAGCGCCGAUCUGCUGGAGAAUCUCAUUAUCCCAUCGGCGCUCUGCCUGCUCCUGGCCUCCAAGCCUCUGAAGCCCCUCGGGUUUCAGCUGCCGGCUACCCUCGAGCCCGUGGUGCCCACGAGAGAGGCGACUUUACGUCAGCGGCCCUGGGCUGAGAUUUGAGAACGCGACCAAGUGGAGAAUGUUGGAGCCAGAUUUUAAAAUCCUUGUCUUCCUUCUGCGUGCUACUUGAUCUAAAUGAGAUACGGCAAAGUCACAGAACCUGUUUUUAUGUUUUUGCCUGAUUCAUACGGGCUUCUCCGGUGAAGAUGGGCCUGAAGUAACGCUUGGGUUGCUUCUGACGUUAUAACUCAUCCUGUAGCUGCAGCAACCGUGGUCCUUGCAACCUCAUAAAAAUGUUGCCAGCAUUGUUUCGAUAGUGCUGCUUAAUUCUUGGAAGGUUCUUCGGACUUCACACAUUCCAGCAGUAGCUCUCUCAGCUCCUGUCCUGCACAGCUUUGAAGUGCUGGUGAUGUCAUUGAACUCUUAAGUGCAAGAUGAAACAAGUCUUUCUGGGGUUCUAAGUAGCGUCUUCAAAGUGUCUUCUGUAAAGACUUCUUCAGACUGUCAAUAGGAAGACUGAUAAACUCAGUACAGACGGGGUUUCACUGUUUUAGCCAGGAUGGUCUCGAUCUCCUGACCUCGUGAUCUGCCCACCUCGGCCUCCCAAGGUGCUGGGAUUACAGGCGUGAGCCACCGCGUCCGGCCCAGGUUGCUUUUAAUUUUAGAAGUUUAAAUAUGCAUGGUUUAUAGGAACCCUGCAACAAAUUUUGAAAGUCUGGACUGUUUGUUCAUCAAAGCCUGAGGUUUCCUGAGAUCUUCGCAUCUUUGAAUCUUCGGUAUAGUCAACAGGCCUGAAACACAGAAGACGUCAAAUGCUCGAUGAAUCGAAUUGGGAUAAGAAAUAAUUUACUAUAAAUAACGAUAAAAGAAAUGACAAAAGUGACAUUUAUUAGCAUUAUUAAAAGUUGCAGUUCUGGGUUUUCGUGAUCAUAAAUUGCCAGCCAGCCAAAGGCAAGCAUCAACUUCACUCAUAAAAUUUUCUUCAAAGAAGCUUAUCCCCAAACAACAUUUCUGUCGGAUUACCUCCAGCAUAAUUACAGUCCUUGUCUCCUUCCUAUAGUCAGGAACUUUUCUCCCUUGUUGGACUUUGGGCAGAAAGUGAGGCCCUUUAUGAUCACAGCACUCUUCCCAGGAAACCUUUUUAAUCUAGGCCCAUUACAGCACAAGGAAGCAUUUAUAUUUCUUCUGGUCUCAGAGCCACAUGUUCUGCCGACCUUGCCUGAGUAACGUCUUCCCAGAAGCAAAUCUUCUGGCUGCUCUAUGCCACAGCUUACUCUCUGUAAAAUGGAGAUAACAGUGCUGUUCUAACCUACUGAUGUAUAUGUAAAUUGGAUGUUUACCUUGGCAGGGAACUGAAGGUAUGAAUGGGGCAGAAGAAGCAAGUUGUCAUUGUCCCUUCCAUGUGGGCUCUUUCGUAGCUCGUUUCCUUUUGCUUCUCAUCCUCUGUGGCUGACAUUUUGUGGUCUCACUUAUUUCUCCAAUGGAAAUGACCCACAGAAUAUUCUAUGGUUUCUUGUUUCUAAGAAACAAGAUGUUGGCCCCCAGUAGAAAGAAGCCCUCGUUGGGUAACUUGGGUGGAGUUGUAGGUGUGAAUGAAUGUAAGAUGAGAUCGUAAAUGUAUCUGUGCCCACACAGGCUGAUAUGUGACCUUCAGUAAGUCUGGACCUCAGUUUAUUUAUCCAUGAAACGGCAGGGUCAGAACAGGUGACCUCUAAGGAAUUCUGCUAUGGUCUAUAAAUUAAAUAAAACUGAUUGCAUUGAUGGAAAAGAGAUUCAAUUAGGUUUGUCCACUUCUCUGAAAUCAAAAGCAGCUGAAACCAAACUUUUCUAAAGAGGAAAAAAUAUAUGCUGCCCAUCUUUCUGGAUUCUCUAAAAAACAUUUUAAUAUUCCCCACUUCCCCCAAACUAUGCAUGGGAUUAACUUUACCAUGUUCUGUGUCUGUGUAUCCAACCUGUUAACUUUUCUUUUUAAGGCCAAAUUUGCGUGACAAAAGGUAAAAUGUGUAUUACCCCUCCAUGCAAGGCUCGUAGAAGAGAGAAUAAUGGCUGAAUGGCCCAUUCUGGAUCCUCUCAAAUGACAUUAUAACAGAAGUCCUAACUAAAUGCCCUAACGUGUAAAUUUCCUGUGACAUAUCGCUUGAGUCUCUGCUUUUGUCACAUUUUUCAUUAGUCAACACUUUUCAAGUACAGAUCUUCAACCAAUUUGGAUCUGCCUAUCUACUUUUUUUUUUUUUUUUUGAGACGGAGUUUCACUCUUUCACCAGGCUGGAGUGCAGUGGCAUGAUCUCAGCUCACCGCAAUGUCUGCCUCCCAGGCUCAAGUGACUCUUCUGACUCAGCCUCCAGAGUAGCUGGGACUACAGGCAUGUGCCACCACAUCUGGCUAAUUUUUUGUAUUUUUAGUAGAGACGGGGUUUCACCAUGUUAGCCAGGAAGGUGUCGAUCUCCUGACCUUGUGAUCUGCCUGCCUCAGCCUCCCAAAGUGUUGGGAUUAUGAGCGUGAGCCACCGCACCCGGCCCUAUAUUCUAUUCUUUAGUUAACACAAGAGGACUUUGUUCUGCACCUGCUACUGUAUACAUCAGAUGCUGUGUCCAAACAUCUCACAUGUAUUAUCUCUGCUCAAAGUCCAGAGUAGGAAGGGUCAUUUCUCAAUAUUACCUCAAAAAUACCAUGAAUGCUUCAUCAAUAUAUCUUUUCUCUCAGAGGCAUUCAAUUCUAGGCUUGAUUUUUAAUUUUGGAGUGAAAAGCCUUAUUUCAUGGUAAAGAGAUGACUGCUAUCUGAAGAGAAUCGGGAGUUUGGGAAGGGCUAAGGGACCCUUUCUAAUGUGCUGGGUAUUAAGCAGCAUAGAUUCUUUCCUUUGCCAAAGGCCAAACAGUAUCCAACAGAGAAAAGUGUUGCCUGGCACCAUACAAUCCCAUUAAAAACAAUAAAUAUAAACACAUCCAACUAAUAUCUGAAUAGUAUUCUCAAAUUUGAGUCCAAAGGACAGCAUGGUGGAUUUUCAUAACAAAUUGCUGAUUUGAGAAUUUCCUAGGGAAUCCAUUGUGUAUCUUAAGUUGAUGGUUCGACCUGUGGACGGAACAGCCAGGCUGGCUGGCUUACAAAUUGCAGCAUUAUUUUUCCUAAAUCCCCAACAUUCAUGAUUUCAUUUCAGUAAAACAGUAAUUUAAACAAUGACUAAGUGUGUAAGAAAAAAUAUAUUGAAGGCUAUGGAACAAUUUAUUAAUAAUGGUAGGACAUUUUCUGCAGUACUUCUAAUGUAUCACUUAGGACUGUAUUGAUUCAGCAUCAGAGUUCUUGGAAACAAGCCUCUUACCAAUAUCUAAGAUCCUGGUGUUGUAAUUGAACUAGAAAAUGUAAGAUUUCCACU